rnacentral:rRNA from 1 species
AACGCUGGCGGCGUGCCUAACACAUGCAAGUCGAGCGAGGAGAGUUCCUUCGGGAACAAACCUAGCGGCGGACGGGUGAGUAACACGUGGGCAACCUGCCUUGUAGAGGGAAUAGCCUUCCGAAAAGGAAGAUUAAUACCGCAUAACAUUACAGUUUCGCAUGAAACAGUAAUUAAAGGAGUAAUCCGCUACAAGAUGGGCCCGCGGCGCAUUAGCUAGUUGGUGAGGUAACGGCUCACCAAGGCGACGAUGCGUAGCCGACCUGAGAGGGUGAUCGGCCACAUUGGGACUGAGACACGGCCCAGACUCCUACGGGAGGCAGCAGUGGGGAAUAUUGCACAAUGGGGGAAACCCUGAUGCAGCAACGCCGCGUGAGUGAUGAAGGUUUUCGGAUCGUAAAGCUCUGUCUUCGGGGACGAUAAUGACGGUACCCGAGGAGGAAGCCACGGCUAACUACGUG